rnacentral:rRNA from 1 species
UGGGGAAUAUUGCACAAUGGAGGGAACUCUGAUGCAGCGACGCCGCGUGAACGAAGAAGGCUUUCGAGUCGUAAAGUUCUUUUAUAUGGGAAGAUAUUGACGGUACCAUAAGAAGAAGCCCCGGCUAACUACGUGCCAGCAGCCGCGGUAAUACGUAGGGGGCUAGCGUUGUCCGGAAUCACUGGGCGUAAAGGGUUCGCAGGCGGAAAUGCAAGUCAGGUGUAAAAGGCAGUAGCUUAACUACUGUAAGCAUUUGAAACUGCAUAUCUUGAGAAGAGUAGAGGUAAGUGGAAUUUUUAGUGUAGCGGUGAAAUGCGUAGAUAUUAAAAAGAAUACCGGUGGCGAAGGCGACUUACUGGGCUCAUUCUGACGCUGAGGAACGAAAGCGUGGGUAGCAAACAGG